UGCCAGCAGUCGCGGUAAUACGGAGGGGGCUAGCGUUGUUCGGAAUUACUGGGCGUAAAGCGCGCGUAGGCGGUUUAGCAAGUUGAAGGUGAAAUCCCGGGGCCCAACCCCGGAACUGCCUCCAAAACUGCUAGUCUUGAGUUCGAGAGAGGUGAGUGGAAUUCCGAGUGUAGAGGUGAAAUUCGUAGAUAUUCGGAGGAACACCAGUGGCGAAGGCGGCUCACUGGACCGAUACUGACGCUGAGACGCGAAGGCGUGGGUAGCGAACGGAUUAGAUA
rnacentral:rRNA from 1 species